rnacentral:rRNA from 1 species
GAGUUUGAUUAUGGCUCAGAUUGAACGCUGGCGGCAGGCUUAACACAUGCAAGCCGAACGGUAGCAGGAGAAAGCUUGCUUUCUUGCUGACGAGUGGCGGACGGGUGAGUAAUGCUUGGGAAUCUGGCUUAUGGAGGGGGAUAACCAUUGGAAACGAUGGCUAAUACCGCGUAAUAUCGGAAGAUUAAAGACUGGGACUUUUGCCAGUUGCCAUAAGAUGAGCCCAAGUGGGAUUAGGUAGUUGGUGGGGUAAAGGCCUACCAAGCCUUCGAUCUCUAGCUGGUCUGAGAGGAUGACCAGCCACACUGGAACUGAGACACGGUCCAGACUCCUACGGGAGGCAGCAGUGGGGAAUAUUGCGCAAUGGGGGCAACCCUGACGCAGCCAUGCCGCGUGAAUGAAGAAGGCCUUCGGGUUGUAAAGUUCUUUCGGUGAUGAGGAAGGCUUAAAUGUUAAUAGCAUUUAGGAUGACGUAUCCNAAAG